GCCGGGUGUGGUGGCUCACGCCUGUAAUUCCAGCACUUUGGGAGGCUGAGGCAGGUGGAUCACCUGAGGUCAGGAGUUCAAGAUCAGCCUGGCCAACAUGGUGAAACCCUGUCUCUA
rnacentral:SRP_RNA from 1 species